GCUUUCUCAGCAGUUGCUUCAAUUGAAGCAGUAAACAAGAUAAUGACAGGUAAUCUGAUCUCGUUAUCUGAACAAGAGCUGGUAGAUUGUGAUACUGCCGAUAACCAAGGCUGCCAAGGGGGUCUAAUGGACGAUGCCUUUAAAUUCGUCAUUCAAAAUGGAGGAAUAGACACUGAAGAAGACUACCCCUACAAAGCCAAAGAUGGAAAAUGCGAUCAAGCAAGGGUCAGUAUGGUGUUCUCUGUCUUAAAAGGGAUUAUUGGAAAUGAACUAAAUACAAGUUAUGACUAUUAAUAUUUUGUUUGAAACAAUUAUAGAAAAAUGCCAAGGUUGUCACCAUCGACGGGUAUGAAGAUGUUCCUGCUAAUGAUGAAAAGGCACUGAAAAAGGCCGUCGCGGGUCAACCCGUCAGCGUUGCUAUCGAAGCUGGCGGCAAAGACUUCCAGCACUAUAAAUCGGUAUUACUUCAGAUUUGCCUAUUGUCAAUAAAGUUGUUAUCUUUUUGAUCGAAUUAGCCAGUAUUUACACGGAUUCAACAAAUAUUUCUGUAUUUUCAAAGUCACAAUGAGUUCAGUAUUAAAAAAUUUAAAUGUUGAUCCUAUUAAGUUUAAAUCUUGGAUCCGCCUAUGCUCCAGGGUAUCUUUACCGGAAAAUGUGGUGCAGCAGUGGACCAUGGUGUGGUUGCAGUAGGAUAUGGUAGUGAAAAUGGCAUGGAUUAUUGGAUCGUGAGGAACUCAUGGGGUGCUUCGUGGGGAGAAAAUGGUUACCUCAGGAUGCAGCGAAACAUUGGCAACCCCAAAGGUUUGUGUGGUAUUGCUACAAUUGCUUCUUACCCUGUAAAGACAGGCCAAAACCCCCCAAAACCAGCUCCAUCUCCUCCAUCACCAGUCAAGCCACCCACUCAAUGUGAUGAUUAUAACGAAUGCCCAGCCGGAACAACGUGCUGCUGUGUCUACAAGUAUUAUAACUACUGUUUUGCUUGGGGUUGUUGUCCCAUGGA
rnacentral:lncRNA from 1 species